rnacentral:misc_RNA from 1 species
GAUGAAGAACGCAGCGAAAUGCGAUAAGUAAUGUGAAUUGCAGAAUUCAGUGAAUCAUCGAAUCUUUGAACGCACCUUGCACCCUUUGGUAUUCCGAAGGGUAUGCUCGUUUGAGUGUCAUUGUACUCUCACACUUCUAAUUCCUUUCGGGAUUGGGAGCGGUGGACUUGGGUGUUGCUGCUUUAGUUGUGGCUCACCUCAAAUAAGUUAGUGCAACUCUUGGUUGGACAUAGUACGGCGUGAUAAGUGUCUUCGCCGGCGCCUCUGUAAGGAGGGUGGCCGAUCGGGAGCUCUGUGCUUCAAACCGUCUUCGGACAAUCUUUGACAACUUGACCUCAAAUCGAGUAGGACUACCCGCUGAACUUAAGCAAAUCAAUAAGCGGAGGA